rnacentral:rRNA from 1 species
UUUGAAUCGCUGGGCCAGUAGUCAUAUUGCUUGUCUCAAAAUUAAGACCAUGCAUGUGCUAAGUAUAACUAAUUCAGACUGUGAAACUGCGAAAUGGCUCAUUAAAGUCAGUUAUAGUUUGUUGUGAUGGUAUCUGCUACUCGCUCCGCGAUAAGCGUAGUAUCUAGAGACUAAAUACGUGCAACAAACCCCCGAUUCUGGCAAGGGAAUGCAUUUAUAGAAAAAGGGUCGACGCGGGCUCUGCCCUCUGCUCUGAUGAUAUCAUGAUAACCUCGACGGAGCUCGCACGGCCACGUGACCGGCGACGCAUCAUUCAACAUUUCUGCCUACCAACUUUCGAUGGUAGGAUAGAGGCCUACCACUGGGUGGUGACGGGUGCACCGGAGAAUUAAGGUUCGAUUCCGGAGAGGGAGCCCUGAGAAACGGCUACCCCACAAUCCAAGGAAGUAGGCCAGCAGGCGCGCAAAUUACAAUCCUGACACGAGGAGGUAGUGACAAUAAAUAACAAUACACCGGGCUCCUUCGAGUCUCGGGUAAAUUGGAAAUAGUACAAUCUACAAUCCCUUAACGAGGAUCAUGGAGGGCCAAGUCUGGGUGCCAGCCAGCCGCGGGUGAGACCAUUUCCAGCUCCAAACCUAGGCGUAUAUUUAAGUUGUUGCAAGUUAAAAAGCUCGUUAGUUGGAACCUUGGUUGGGGUCGACCGGGUCCGCCUCGGCAGGUGCCCCGUGCACCUGGGUCGGCUCUCCUUCGCCGGCCCGAUGCGCUCCUGGCCUUAACUGGCACGGGUCGUGGCUCCCGCGCCUGUUAUUCUAGCCAAGAAAUGUAAGAGGUGUCCCUCACACAGCAAGCCUCACGCUCUGGAUCACACAGCAUGGGUAUAACAUCAUAAGGAUUUUCGUCCUAUUGUGUUGGCCUUCGGGAUCGAGUAAUGAUGUUAACAAGGGACAGUCGGGGGCAUUCGUAUUCAUAGUCAGAAGGUGAAAUCUUGGAUUUAUGAAAGACAGAAACAACUGCGAAAGCAUUUGCCAAGGAUUGUUUUUCAUUAAUGCAAGAAACAGAAAGUUGGGGGCUUCGAAGACGAUCAAGAUACCGUCCUAGUCUCAACCCAUAAACGAUGCCGACCAAGGGAUCGGCGGAUGUUGCUUUUAGGACUCGCCGGCACCUAUGGAGAAAUCAAAGUCCUUGGGUUCCGGGGGGAGUAUGAGUCGGCAAGGUGAAACUUAAGGAAUUGACGGAAGGGCACCACCAGGAGUGGAGCCUGGCGGCUUAAUUGAACUCCAACACGGGGAAACUUACCAGGUCUCAGACAUAGUAAGGAUUACAGACUGAGAGCUCUUCCUUGAUUCUAUGGGUGGUGGUGCCCAUGGCCGUUCUUAGUUGGUGGAGCGAUGUCUGGCUUAAUUCCGUUACGAACGAGACCUCUAGCCUGCUAACUAGCUUAUGCGGAGGUGACUCCGCGGCAGCUUCUUAGAGGGACAUGGCCUUUUUUAGGCCAAGGAAGUUGAGCAAUAACAGGUCUGUGAUGCCCUUAGAAUGUUCUGGGCCAGCACGCGCCGCUAACACUGAUGUAUUCAACCGAGUCUAUAGCCUUGGCCGAACAGGCCCCCGGUAAUCUUUGAAAUUUCCAUCGUUUGAUGGGCGGGAUAGAUCAUUGCAAUUGUUGGUCUUCAACGAGGAAUUCUAGUAAGCGCGAGUCAUCAGCGUUCGCGUUGACUAACGUCCCUGCCCUUGUACACACCGCCCGUCGCUCCUAACCGAUUGAAUGGUCCGGUGAAGUGUUCGCGAUUCGCGGCGACGAUUGGGCGGUUUCGCCGGCCGGCGAGACGUUCGGCAAGUCCACUGAACCUUAUCAUUUAGAGGAAGGAGAAGUCGUAACAAGGUUUCCGUAGGUGAACCUGCGGAAG